UACAGAGGGGGCAAGCGUUGUUCGGAAUUACUGGGCGUAAAGGGCGCGUAGGCGGCCUGCUAAGUCGAACGUGAAAUCCCUGGGCUCAACCCAGGAACUGCGUCCGAUACUGGUUGGCUUGAAUCCGGGAGAGGGAUGUGGAACUCCAGGUGUAGCGGUGAAAUGCGCAGAUAUCUGGGGGAAGGCCGGCGGCGAAGGCGCCAUUCUGGGAAAUUCCUGACACUGAGGCACGAAAGCGUGGGGAGCAAACAGG
rnacentral:rRNA from 1 species